rnacentral:rRNA from 1 species
UGGGGAAUAUUGCACAAUGGGCGCAAGCCUGAUGCAGCCAUGCCGCGUGUAUGAAGAAGGCCUUCGGGUUGUAAAGUACUUUCAGUGGGGAGGAAGGGAGUAAAGUUAAUACCUUUGCUCAUUGACGUUACCCGCAGAAGAAGCACCGGCUAACUCCGUGCCAGCAGCCGCGGUAAUACGGAGGGUGCAAGCGUUAAUCGGAAUUACUGGGCGUAAAGCGCACGCAGGCGGUUUGUUAAGUCAGAUGUGAAAUCCACGGGCUCAACCUGGGAAAUGCAUCGGAUACUGGCAAGCUUGAGUCUCGUAGAGGGGGGUAGAAUUCCAGGUGUAGCGGUGAAAUGCGUAGAGAUCUGGAGGAAUACCGGUGGCGAAGGCGGCCCCCUGGACGAAGACUGACGCUCAGGGGCGAAAGCGUGGGGAGCAAACAGG